UACGAAGGGGGCUAGCGUUGUUCGGAAUUACUGGGCGUAAAGCGCACGUAGGCGGAUACUUAAGUCAGGGGUGAAAUCCCGGGGCUCAACCCCGGAACUGCCUUUGAUACUGGGUAUCUCGAGUCCGGAAGAGGUGAGUGGAAUUCCGAGUGUAGAGGUGAAAUUCGUAGAUAUCGGGAGGAACACCAACGGCGCAGGCGGCGCUCUGGACGCACACUGACGCUGAGACACGAAAAGCGUGGGGAGCAAACAGG
rnacentral:rRNA from 1 species